GACCCAAACUAAUAAGCUUGCGGCGUAAAACGUGUUAAAGAAAUACCCAACACUAAAGUUAAAAUCUGGCCAAGCCGUAAAAAGCUACUGCCAGCACAAAAUUAUGCCACGAAAGUGACUUUAUCAGUUCUGACCACACGAUAGCUAAGACCCAAACUGGGAUUAGAUACCCCACUAUGCUUAGCCCUAAACAUAGAUAAUUUUAAUAUAACAAAAUUGCAUGCCAGAGAACUACUAGCAACAGCUUAAAACUCAAAGGACUUGGCGGUGCUUUAUAUCCCCCUAGAGGAGCCUGUUCUAUAAUCGAUAAACCCCGAUAAACCUCACCACUUCUGGCUAAAU
rnacentral:rRNA from 1 species